rnacentral:tRNA from 1 species
CCUCGCUUAGCUCAGUUGGUAGAGCACCUGGCUGUAGACCAGGGUGUCCCCAGUUCAAGUCUGGGAGCGGGGA